AGCUACAGGCUUAACACAUGCAAGUCGAGGGGCAGCAUGGUCUUAGCUUGCUAAGGCCGAUGGCGACCGGCGCACGGGUGAGUAACACGUAUCCAACCUGCCGUCUACUCUUGGACAGCCUUCUGAAAGGAAGAUUAGUACAAGAUGGCAUCAUGAGUCCGCAUGUUCACAUGAUUAAAGGUAUUCCGGUAGACGAUGGGGAUGCGUUCCAUUAGAUAGUAGGCGGGGUAACGGCCCACCUAGUCUUCGAUGGAUAGGGGUUCUGAGAGGAAGGUCCCCCACAUUGGAACUGAGACACGGUCCAAACUCCUACGGGAGGCAGCAGUGAGGAAUAUUGGUCAAUGGGCGAGAGCCUGAACCAGCCAAGUAGCGUGAAGGAUGACUGCCCUAUGGGUUGUAAACUUCUUUUAUAAAGGAAUAAAGUCGGGUAUGGAUACCCGUUUGCAUGUACUUUAUGAAUAAGGAUCGGCUAACUCCGUGCCAGCAGCCGCGGUAAUACGGAGGAUCCGAGCGUUAUCCGGAUUUAUUGGGUUUAAAGGGAGCGUAGAUGGAUGUUUAAGUCAGUUGUGAAAGUUUGCGGCUCAACCGUAAAAUUGCAGUUGAUACUGGAUAUCUUGAGUGCAGUUGAGGCAGGCGGAAUUCGUGGUGUAGCGGUGAAAUGCUUAGAUAUCACGAAGAACUCCGAUUGCGAAGGCAGCCUGCUAAGCUGCAACUGACAUUGAGGCUCGAAAGUGUGGGUAUCAAACAGGAUUAGAUACCCUGGUAGUCCACACGGUAAACGAUGAAUACUCGCUGUUUGCGAUAUACUGCAAGCGGCCAAGCGAAAGCGUUAAGUAUUCCACCUGGGGAGUACGCCGGCAACGGCGAAACUCAAAGGAAUUGACGGGGGCCCGCACAAGCGGAGGAACAUGUGGUUUAAUUCGAUGGUACGCGAGGAACCUUACCCGGGCUUAAAUUGCAGAUGAAUUACGGUGAAAGCCGUAAGCCGCAAGGCAUCUGUGAAGGUGCUGCAUGGUUGUCGUCAGCUCGUGCCGUGAGGUGUCGGCUUAAGUGCCAUAACGAGCGCAACCCUUGUUGUCAGUUACUAACAGGUUCCGCUGAGGACUCUGACAAGACUGCCAUCGUAAGAUGUGAGGAAGGUGGGGAUGACGUCAAAUCAGCACGGCCCUUACGUCCGGGGCUACACACGUGUUACAAUGGGGGGUACAGAGGGCCGCUACCACGCGAGUGGAUGCCAAUCCCCAAAACCUCUCUCAGUUCGGACUGGAGUCUGCAACCCGACUCCACGAAGCUGGAUUCGCUAGUAAUCGCGCAUCAGCCACGGCGCGGUGAAUACGUUCCCGGGCCUUGUACACACCGCCCGUCAAGCCAUGGGAGCCGGGGGUACCUGAAGUGCGUAACCGCGAGGAGCGCCCUAGGGUAAAACUGGUGACUGGGGCUAAGUCAUAACA
rnacentral:rRNA from 1 species